GCAAUGAGUACACAUAAGGUUCAGUCUGUGCAAGUCAGGUGCGGCGGCGUGUUCACAUGUGUACUUUGGUAUGCUAUGUGUGAAUUGCUGCUGAUCCGCAUCGCAUUUUGCCGAUUGACGCGCUGCUUGUCUUUGUCUUGGUUGCAAUCAUAGCAACGUAUGCCGGUCGACUUUGUCGAUUCUGGCAAAUUGAUAGUGGUGUUGCACUUUUGUGCACGUACAUGGGAAACAUUUCGUCUUGGCGAAGUGUUAGUCAGCUUGGACAAAGAUUGUCAAACUCUGGUCCGGCGGCUUGUUGAUAGUCAUGUGCUUACAGCGGUUUUGGUGUGCUGUGGCUUCGGUUGCAGUAUGGCAAGGAUUGUUGUGUGGUGCAUGGUGUUUGUCGGUUGUUCGGAAUGAAAAGCAGGCCAUGUUGUGGCAUCAUUUGAACCGUCUUGAAACACGGGCUAAGGAGUUCAACAAAUGUGCAAGUUAUCUGGUCGAUUGAAACCAGACAGCGCAGUGAAAGCAAGUUGGUUUAUAAUUGUGAUAACUGUUAACACAGUUGUGUUAAUGGAUCAUCACUUUUGAUGGAUGGCACGUAAGGUACCGGUUGUCGUUCGCAAUCGAGCGCAUAUGUUGAGACCCGAAAGAUGGUGAACUAUGCCUGAGUAGGAUGAAGCCGGAGGAAACUCUGGUGGAGGUCCGUAGCGUUUUUGACGUGCAAAUCAAUCGUCAGACUUGGGUAUAGGGGCGAAAGACUAAUCGAACCAUCUAGUAGCUGGUUCCCUUCGAAGUUUCCCCCAGGAAAGCUGGUGUUGUAUCAGACAGUUUCGUCUGGUAAAGCGAAUGAUUAGAGGCAUUGGGGAUGAAUUGUCCUCGACCUAUUCUCAAACUUUAAAUGGGCGAAGAGCUCUGACACUACUUGAUUGAGUGUCGAGCUAGAAUGCAAUGGCACCAAGUGGGCCACUUUUGGUAAGCAGAACUGGCGAUGUGGGAUGAACCAAACGUUGAGCUAAGAUGCCAAAAAUGCCUCUCAUGAGAUACCAUGAAAGGUGUCAGUCGAUACUGACAGCAGGACGGUGGCCGCAGAAGUAGGAAUCCGCUAAGGAGUGUGUAACAACUCACCUGCCGAAUCGACUGGCCCUGAAAAUGGAUGGCGCUAGAGACGCAUAUCGAUGCUCAACCGUCAAUGCCAACAAAUACAGCGAAUGCAAUAUGGCUUGGCGUGUAGAAGGGCGAUUGCGGUGGCGUCGAAACCUGCACCGUGAGGUGGGGUUGAGCCGCCGCAUGUGCAGAUCUUGGUGGUAGUAGCAANNNNNNNNNNNNNNNNNNNNNNNNNNNNNNUGGAGUAAGGUUCCAUGUGAACAACAUUUGAACAUGGAUCAGCCGAUCCUAAGAGAACGGUUAAGUUCGUGAUUAAGUGCGUUGCGUUGUGCAAUGCAAUCGAAAGGGAAUCGGGUUAAUAUUCCCGAGCCAGGAUACGGUUGAUGUUCAACAUUCCAGAAGUGCCUCGUGCACUGAUGGUGUUGUGCAUAAGUGGUAACACUAACAAACCCAGAAAUUAACUAUACGAAGUCCGGGGAAGAGUUUUCUCUUCUUUGUAAGGAAUGUUAUCCCUGGAAUCAGAUUGUCUGGCGAUAGGGUACGCAUUCCGUAAUGCAGCGCGAUUCCUGCGAUGUACCGUGCGCUUCGUAUAGUGCUUGAAAAUCUGGGGGCGCGAUAGUUCAGACCGUACCUGUUCGUACUGAUUUCCGCAGCAGGUCUCCAAGGUGAGCAGCCUCUAGUCAAUAGGACAAAGUAGACAAGGGAAGUCGGCAAAUUAGAUCCGUAACUUCGGAAAAAGGAUUGGCUCUAAAAGCUGAGCUGGUCGGGCUAUCGCAAUAAGCUGUUAGCUAUGUCUUGGCUCUGUCUCAGUUGCUGUAUGCUCGCAAGGGUGUCGGCUUCGAGGACGGACCUCGGUUUUGCGUUCUGUGUAAGGUGAUGGCUAUGCUGCCUGGUUGAUGAGUGAUCAACUUCCAGGUAGAUCCGAUCAGCGUUAAACAGCUGACCUAGAACUGGUAUGGACAAGGGGAAUCCAACUGUUUAAUUAAAACAAAGCAUUGCGAUAGCUGUA
rnacentral:rRNA from 1 species